UACAGAGGCCUCAAGCGUUAUCCGGAUUUAUUGGGCGUAAAGCGCAGGUAGGCGGUUUGAUUAGUCAGAUGUCAAAGACCGGGGCUCAACCCCGGAAAGGCAUUUGAAACGGUCAGACUAGAGAAUGUAAGAGAUUGCUGGAAUUCAUGGUGUAGUAGUGAAAUGCGUUGAUAUCAUGAGGAACACUCAAGGCGAAGGCAAGCAAUUGGUGCAUUUCUG
rnacentral:rRNA from 1 species